rnacentral:rRNA from 1 species
GACGAACGCUGGCGGCGUGCCUAAUACAUGCAAGUCGAACGCACUGGGGACGGGUGAUUAACACGUGGGUAACCUCCCCAUGAGAGGGGAUAACACUUGGAAACAGGUGCUAAACCGAUACUGCUUGAUUGACCCGCGGUGCAUUAGCUAGUUGGGGAGGUAACGGCUCACCAAGGCCCCGAUGCAUAGCCGACCGGAGAGGGUGAUCGGCCACACGGGGACGGAGACACGGCCCAGACUCCUACGGGAGGCAGCAGUGGGGAAUGUUCGGCAAUGGACGAAAGUCUGACCGAGCAACGCCGCGGGAGUGAAGAAGGUUUUCGGAUCGUAAAACUCUGUUGUUAGAGAAGCGGUAUCUAACCAGAAAGCCACGGCUAACUACGUGCCAGCAGCCGCGGUAAUAC